rnacentral:piRNA from 1 species
UGAUAGUCCACUGUACCUGGAUUUCAGCA